UACGUAGGCAGCGAGCGUUGUUCGGAGUUACUGGGCGUAAAGAGUGCGUAGGCGGUUUUCUAAGUUUGGUGUGAAAUCUCCCGGCUUAACUGGGAGGGUGCGCCGAAGACUGGAAGGCUUGAGUAUGGGAGAGGUAAGCGGAAUUCCUGGUGUAGCGGUGAAAUGCGUAGAUAUCAGGAGGAACACCAAUGGCGAAGGCAGAUCUCUGGGCCGUAACUGACGCUGAGGAGCGAAAGCAUGGGGAGCGAACAGG
rnacentral:rRNA from 1 species